UAGGGAAUCUUCCACAAUGGACGCAAGUCUGAUGGAGCAACGCCGCGUGAGUGAAGAAGGGUUUCGGCUCGUAAAGCUCUGUUGUUAAAGAAGAACGUGGGUAAGAGUAACUGUUGACCCAGUGACGGUAUUUAACCAGAAAGCCACGGCUAACUACGUGCCAG
rnacentral:rRNA from 1 species